UACGUAGGUGGCAAGCGUUGUCCGGAUUUACUGGGCGUAAAGAGCGCGCAGGCGGUCGUUUAAGUCGAAUGUGAAAGCCCCCCGGCUCAACUGGGGAGGGUCAUUCGAUACUGAUCGACUUGAAGGCAGGAGAGGGAAGUGGAAUUCCGGGUGUAGUGGUGAAAUGCGUAGAUAUCCGGAGGAACACCAGUGGCGAAGGCGACUUCCUGGCCUGUUCUUGACGCUGAGGCGCGAAAGCUGGGGGGAGCAAACGGGGAU
rnacentral:rRNA from 1 species